AGCCGAAACGGUGGAGCUUCCACCGUCUGGCGGGACCGGCCGCCCGCCACCGAUGAGGCAGGCCAGA
rnacentral:hammerhead_ribozyme from 1 species